GAAGGCGCUUUCUCUGUGGAGAACGACCGCGGGAGGGAGGGGGCUGGGCUGGCUCCGCGGAGGAAUCUGACGCACACGGAGCCGCAGCACAGGCUCUAUUCAGCGGCGCAGGCUAGGGCUGAGAUGGAAGUUAGUUUCUAUGUAGCAGAAAUAGGAAACAAAUGAAGCAAAACUGCCCAAAGAGGGGAAAUGCCCUGAGGAUGGGUCUCAUUCUCACGCGCGCACACAGACACACGCAGAGAGCUCUCUCACGCUGGGCAAACUCGGGAUUGCGCUACCGUCCCUGAGUUGAAUGAUAGUGUUUGGUUUCUGUCUCUUGCCAUGUGCAUGUGUAUAAAUGCUGCGGAUUGGCAUCUGUGAAUAACAGAAACAAAUGGAACCAUCGAUAGUUUUCCCAUUGGAGAGAAGGAAGCAAAGUACGUGUUUUAUUUAAAAGAAAUACUAGAAAAUCAUGUAACAUUUGGAUAUCAGGAAGAUGGCAGAAUGGAUAAGGAAGAGUAGGCUUCUCCUCUAUGAAAGAAAUUAGAGAAGGGCUGGAGGACGCCCAGGUCCAUGGUUUUGGGGUGUGACCGGCCAUAGAGGGAUCCCUACAGUGCGUGGUGGGGAUGUGGGGAAAACAAAACAAAACAAAACAGAGAGAUGGUGCUACCUCAAGGGAUGGGGUGAGUUUGCCUGACCAUACCGUGUCCCAGGGCCAGCAGUGGUGAGAUGGCCACCAGACAAGGGAGUGAGCAACGGUUCUCCAUUCCCAUGCAACCACGUUGGCAGUUAGCUGGGGAGUGAUCCUCCACAGCCAUACUACCAGGAGCUCCCUUGAGGGAACCCGGGAGUCACCAUUUACUCUUCCCCCAUGGAACUCCUGCAUGAGCACAAGAAAGAAGCAGGGAUAGGAGAGGGUGCCAUACGAAGGCAUCAGGAGCCCCUUCCAUACUCCAAAGGCUUCCUGGUGCAUAGCAGGCACAUAAGGAGAGAUACUGUAUGUUACCACUAUGAACUCCCUGGACAAUGUAAAGUCAAUGUCUUAUAAUGUAGAAUAUUGGGGACCUAGUGAUAGUAGAAGUUAGUGGAGGGGGAAUGGUAAUCUAAUAUGUUCAGAUAUGUUAUUGAAGGUGAAUUCAAAGGUAUGGAAAUGGAUAAGGGUGAUGAUUGUUAAUGGGAUAAGUAUCAGAGCAGUAUUGAAGGUGAAUAGGAUUGAAAGGGGUUGUUUAAAGGCAUGUAUCUACAGAUCAGCACUACAAAUAUAGAUAGGUGUUUGUAAGAUAUGAUACUAGUACAGAGAAUUGACUACAGAAUGGUAUAUGGGAAAAAUCUACCUAUUGCAUACUAGGGACCAUAAUUAAUAGGAAUACCUUACUAGUACCACACAAAUACUAUGGACAAAUAAUUAAGGGCUGAAUAUAGCUAUGGGGUGUUUUGGGUCAUGAGAAUUGUUUAAAAUGGAGAGUGAUGAGGAUUGUACAACUAAGUGAUGAUAAUGUGCAAUAUGGAUGUAUUAUCUUGGACAUAACAUAUGCUAUGUGAACUUAGGAACCCUCUACUUUAAAGUAGGAACCCACUACUUUAAAGCCCCAAGGGCUUUGUAAGUCAAGCCCUCGAUCUUGAGGCUUACUUGCGUAACUUGUGGUUGUAGAGGGGGAUGCUAAGUCCAUCUAUAAUUAUGCCUAGGAGUCACCUCUAUAGAACCUCUUUUGUUGCUCAAAUGUGGACUUUCUCUAAGUCCAACUCUGCAAAUAAAUACAUCACUCUCUCCCCGAAAUG